GGUUUUGGCAGCGCGAGGACUAGGGUAAUGAUUAAUAGGGAUAGUUGGGGGCAUUAAUAUUUAAUUGUCAGAGGUGAAAUUCUUGGAUUUAUGAAAGAUUAACUUCUGCGAAAGCAUCUGCCAAGGAUGUUUUCAUUAAUCAAGAACGAAAGUUAGGGGAUCGAAGACGAUCAGAUACCGUCGUAGUCUUAACCAUAAACGAUGCCGACCAGCGAUUAGGAGACGUUGAAUACAAAACACCACCAUCGGUGCGGUCGUCCUUGGCGUCGGUCUUUCGGGGCCGGCGCGGGGACGGCUUAGCCCGGUGGCACCGGUGAAUGACUCCCUAGCAGCUUGUGAGA
rnacentral:rRNA from 1 species